CCCGCCUCGCGCGCGGAUUGGAGGCCUUUGUCUGCCGCUCAAUUCCAGGAAACCAGGGCGCGCGGUAGCAGCUGCAGGAGGAGGAAUUCCUGUCUCCUUGGAUUGGUAUGGAGGUUGGGGAAUAAGAACUAAACCCUAGGAAGACUUUUACAAGAUGAGUAACCUGGGACUGGACUCAAAAGUCUUUAUCAGCAAGGAUCUUGCCAGGGUCACUCAGCCUCCAAGAGCCCUGGAAGUCUCAGCUUGUCUCCAUGACAAAUCAGCACAAUGGGGUUUCUUGGAUGGGCUAAUAGAAUGGAGUCCAGGAGACUCAGUGGACCUCUGAUCACCUCA
rnacentral:lncRNA from 1 species